rnacentral:rRNA from 1 species
UACGGAGGAUCCGAGCGUUAUCCGGAUUUAUUGGGUUUAAAGGGUGCGCAGGCGGGAGAUUAAGUCGGCGGUGAAAUUUUGCAGCUCAACUGUAAAAGUGCCUUCGAAACUGGUUUCCUUGAGUGUAGAUGAAGUAGGCGGAAUUUGUGGUGUAGCGGUGAAAUGCAUAGAUAUUACACAGAACACCGAUUGCGAAGGCAGCUUACUAAUCCAUCAUUGACGCUGAGGCACGAAAGCGUGGGGAUCAAACAGGAUUAGAUACCCCGGUA